UACGGGGGGGGUAAGCGUUGUUCGGAAUUACUGGGCGUAAAGGGCUCGUAGGCGGCCAACUAAGUCGGACGUGAAAUCCCUCAGCUUAACUGGGGAACUGCGUCCGAUACUGGAUGGCUUGGAUUCGGGAGAGGAAUGCGGAAUUCCAGGUGUAGCGGUGAAAUGCGUAGAUAUCUGGAGGAACACCGGUGGCGAAGGCGGCAUUCUGGACCGACAUUGACGCUGAGGAGCGGAAGCCAGGGGAGCAAACGGG
rnacentral:rRNA from 1 species